rnacentral:rRNA from 1 species
UACGUAGGGUGCAAGCGUUAAUCGGAAUUACUGGGCGUAAAGCGUGCGCAGGCGGUUUUGUAAGACUGUCGUGAAAUCCCCGGGCUUAACCUGGGAAUUGCGAUGGUGACUGCAAGGCUAGAGUUUGGCAGAGGGGGGUAGAAUUCCACGUGUAGCAGUGAAAUGCGUAGAGAUGUGGAGGAACACCGAUUGCGAAGGCAGCUCGCUGGGACGUCACUGACGCUGAGACGCGAAAGCGUGGGGAGCAAACAGG